UUGGGCUAUUUAUCCUUGGAUGGUGAAGCCAAUUUGAUGAUGUGGCAAGCAUUGGUUUAGUGGACUUUGAUUUUGGGAGGGAAUCCAUCUCAAUUCUCAAUACACAAACCAAAAUUCUAAAAACACAAACCAAAAAAGAAGUGAACACGGGAUCCGGCAAUUUUCGGGUCGGAUGUAUGGGUUUUCCAAACCCGUGUAUAUAAGGCAUCUAAAAAACCUAAACUUCUCUACAUCCACAUUCUUCUCCUUCGCCGCAUCAUACUUGAAACCCUAGAUUCACAUCUCAGCUACGCUAUUCCAGAUCAUAUUGCCUCUUCUGCAAUUUCUCUCACAUCUCAGUUCUUCCAGUUCUCCCUCAACCUCAGUUCCACCAUUCAGCGAUUUCACUUUGGAUCUUGAUGAUUAGUUCAAAAGGUAGAUUGUAUGAGGAUAUGAACACUUCUCUCGCCAUUGAAGAAUAUAUAAACGUUAUGGAAUAUGUCGCUGGAGGAGAGCUAUUUGACAAGUUUGUAGCGCAACGCUUCAGUGACGAUGAGAGAUAUAAUGACUUUACUUAUGUGAAAAGAUACAUUAACUGAAGAGGAAGCUUGGUUUUAUGUCGGAGAAACUGUUUUGGCAAUCGAAUCCAUUCACAAACAUAACUAUAUUCAGAGGAAAAUGAUUUCACUGCUGCAAAGAACUUAAGUGGGGCUCUUCAAAGUGACGGACGCCCUGCUGUACCGAGACGCACUCAACAGGAGCAACUGCAACAUUGGC